AGCGAACGCUGGCGGCAGGCCUAACACAUGCAAGUCGAACGAACUCUUCGGAGUUAGUGGCGGUCGGGUGAGUACCACGUGGGAACGUGCCUUUUGGUUCGGAAUAACUCAGGGAAACUUGUGCUAAUACAGAAUGUGCUCUUCGCGGGUAAGAUGUAUCGCCACUGGCGCGGGGCGGGUCUGAUUAGCCGGUUGGUGAGGUACCGGCUCACCAACGCGACGAUCAGUAGCUGGUCUGAGAGGAUGCCUAUCCACACUGGGCCUGAGACCCGGCCCAGACUCCUACGCAGGGGAGCAGUAGAGAAUCUAGCGCAAUGGAGGAAAACCUAGCGCAGCCAUGCCGCGUAAAUGAUGAAUGUCUUAGUAUUGUAAAAUUCUUUCACCGGGGACGUUAAUGACGGUACCCGGAGAAGAAGCCCCGGCUAACUUCGUG
rnacentral:rRNA from 1 species